CCUGACUCCCCAGGGGAAGUCACCCCGAAGCAGCGCCUGCGGGCCUCCCCCGCCGCGGAGCGUCCCUUCCCUCUUUCACCCCACCUACUGUCUGCGCAGGAAGACUGUCUAACUAAGAAUUAGAAGUUUAACUCCGCCUGCAAGCGCACUGAUGGUCCCCUUGGAGGCUUCUCCGCGGCUUUCGUACUUCUGUCAGCAUUUCAAGAGCAGCCGGGUGCCGAGGCCACGUCGCCGCCAAACCUACUCCCUACUGUCCACACCGGCCUCUCUGGCCCACAGGUGACAGUCUCCUCCUGUCCCGCCUGGCGCCCCCGGAAUGGGGAUAGGAAAGCGGGACGUGGGAAGGGCAUCCACCCCACCCCAUCCCCCUACCCCACCCCCCUGGGUAACAGAGGCUAGGGUGAG
ensembl:lncRNA